rnacentral:rRNA from 1 species
UACGAAGGGGGCUAGCGUUGCUCGGAAUCACUGGGCGUAAAGGGUGCGUAGGCGGGUCUUUAAGUCAGGGGUGAAAUCCUGGAGCUCAACUCCAGAACUGCCUUUGAUACUGAGGAUCUUGAGUUCGGGAGAGGUGAGUGGUAACUGCGAGUGUAGAGGUGAAAUUCGUAGAUAUUCGCAAGAACACCAGUGGCGAAGGCGGCUCACUGGCCCGGUACUGACGCUGAGGUGCGAAAGCGUGGGGAGCAAACAGG